rnacentral:misc_RNA from 1 species
AACGCACAUUGCACCCGGUGGUAUUCCGCCGGGUAUGCCUGUCUGAGCGUCAUUUCUACCCUCAAGCACUGGCUUGGUGUUGGCGGUCUACGUCUUGUAGCUGCUGAAAUUCAACGGCGGCAGCCCCUAUCCUCCCUGUAUAGUACAAUUCUUGCAGCGGUAGAUGCGGGCGGGCCAGCCCUAAACCUUAAUUUCAGAAAGUUGACCUCAGAUCAGGUAGGAAUACCCGCUGAACUUAA